rnacentral:rRNA from 1 species
UACAGAGGGGGCAAGCGUUGUUCGGAAUUACUGGGCGUAAAGGGCGCGUAGGCGGCCUGCUAAGUCGAACGUGAAAUCCCCGGGCUCAACCCGGGAACUGCGUCCGAUACUGGCAGGCUUGGAAUCCGGGAGAGGGAUGCGGAAUUCCAGGUGUAGCGGUAGAAAUGCGUAGAGAUGUGGAGGAACACCGAUGACCGAAGGCAGCCCCUGGUCAAGAUUGACGCUCAUGCACGAAAGCGUGGGGAGCAAACAGG